CGGCGGUCGUGUCCUCCUCCAGUGUUUUCCUGGGCGCUGAUGUCCGGUGAGCUUGCAGCUCCAAGCGUCAGUACGGUGCCCUCCAGAAAGAUCAACAUCACCAGAAGUAGGAGUCCCCGCUCCAGAAAACUUCUGGAGCCAGUGGAGGACCUGAGCCCUGCCUCGGGACUACUUGGCCAUGCUGUCCCCAGUCCACCUGGUCGUGCUGCUGCUCCAGUUUCAACUGUUCUGCCUGCGGCUAUGGAACUCUGACCUGUUCACUGGACGUGCUACCUUGUCCCAGACCUGCUGUUUUUCGACUCUCUCUACCGCACCUGCUGUCUCAAUCUCUGAAUGAUCAGCUAUAAAAAGCCAACUGACAUUUACUCCUGAGGUGCUGACUUGUUGCACCCUCUACAAACACUGAGAUUUUUAUUAUUUGACCCUGCUGGUCAUCUAUGAAUAUUUGAACAUCGUGACCAUGUACUGUUAUAAUCUCCACCUGGCACAGCCAGAAGAGCCUGGUUCCUCUCUAGGUUUCUUCCUAGGUUCCGGCCUUUCUAGGGAGUUUUUCCUAGCCACUGUGCUUCUACAUCUGUAUUGCUUGCUGUUUGGGGUUUUAGGCUGGGUUUCUGUAUAGCACUUGUGACAUUGGCUGAUGUAAAAAGGGCUUUAUAAAUACAUUUGAUUGAUUGAUUGAUCAUUACUCAGGUGCUGAGGUGCUGGGCACAAUGAACGGCACUCUAAAAUGUACAGUUUUGCCACAACACAAUGCCGCAGAUGUCUCAACUUUUGAGGAAGUGUACAAUUGGCAUGCUGACUACAGGAAUGUCCAACAGAGCUUUUGCCAGAGAAUCUCUAAUCCUCUAACAUAAGCCGCCUCCAAUGUCAUUUUAGAGAAUUUGGCAGUACAUCCAACCGGCCUCACAACCGCAAACCACAUGUAACCACAGCAGCCAAGGACCUCCACAUCUGGCUUCUUCACCUGCGGGAUCGUCUGAGACCAGCCACCCGGACAGCUGAUGAAACUGAAGAGUAUUUAUGUUUGUAAUAAAGCCCUUUGGGGUGAGUGGACCUAUGCCCUCCCAGGCCCACCCAUGGUUGCACCCCUGCCCAGUCAUGUUAAAUCCAUAAAUUAGGGCCUAAUUUAUUUAUUUCAAUUGACUGAUUUCCUUAUAUGAACUGAAACUCAGUAAAAUCGUUGUAAUUGUUGCAUGUUGCGUUUAUAUUUUUGGUCAGUAUACAUAUACAGUAGGGCUUAUUAUAUGUUGGUGUGGCAGGUAGCCUAGCGGUUAGAGCAGGUAGCCUAGUGGUUAGAGCAGUUAGCCUAGCGGUUAGAGCAGGUAGCCUAGCGUUUAGAGCAGGUAGCCUGGUGGUUAGAGCAGUUAGCCUAGCGGUUAGAGCAGGUAGCCUAGCGGUUAGUGUUGGGCCAGUAACUGAAAGUUUGCUUGAUCGAAUCCCUGAGCUGACAAGGUAAAAAUCUGUUGUUCUGCUCCUGAAAAAGACUGUUCCUAGGCCAUCAUUGUAAAUAAGAAUUUGUUCUUAACUGACUUGCCUAGUUAAAUAAAGGUUAAAUAAAAAAAUAAAAAAUGUUGGCUCAAGGCCAGCAGCUAAGCUACUGUAUUAGAGUUGCAUAGUAAUAUGUUAGGUUAGUAUUAGCACUAAGGUGUAUGUGGACUGAUCAUUGUCUAUCAAUAAAGCACAAAUUGGGACA